UACGUAGGGCGCAAGCGUUAUCCGGAAUUAUUGGGCGUAACGAGCUCGUAGGCGGUUUGUCGCGUCUGCCGUGAAAGUCCGGGGCUCAACUCCGGAUCUGCGGUGGGUACGGGCAGACUAGAGUGAUGUAGGGGAGACUGGAAUUCCUGGUGUAGCGGUGAAAUGCGCAGAUAUCAGGAGGAACACCGAUGGCGAAGGCAGGUCUCUGGGCAUUAACUGACGCUGAGGAGCGAAAGCAUGGGGAGCGAACAGG
rnacentral:rRNA from 1 species